CCGUCUUCUUCAUACUGCAUGAAAAAGGAGCCCUUCCAGGAGUUGGGUGGGGAUGAGGUAAAUACGUGCUUCCUCUGUUUCAUAUAAUUUCCAUACUGUGUAUUGUAACUUGAAAAGAGAGAUAAUUAGCAGGAGCUUUUUACUUAAGGGAGGAUGGUUUCUUAGCUUUGUCUAUGUUGAGAAAUCAAAUGCUCUUAAUAGGUGAUGGGAUAAACUGAAUUUAAGUUUUGGAAGAGUUUUGCAGGCAUACUAUAUUAGAAACUUCUCCAUCCUAUCUAGCACGCAUUUUGAAUUCCAUAUUCUGUAUGGAACUUAGGAAUUAUUUUAUUAAGUAAUACAGUUCAUAGCAUGCCACAUGUGUGGGUCACUGGUUACGUAACAAUACACAAACAGCUAGCAGACCUAGGAACAAAUGUUCAAAAUUUUCUAUCACAUCCCACACACAUUAUUUGUAUCUGAUACUUUGCGAACUGCAGACAUAACAAAAAUGUUGUGAUUUUUUCCAAACACUGUAAUUUUGUUUUUUUCAUCCUGUAAUAUUCUUGGAGUAUGCUUAAGUGGCUGCACCACAUUUCCCAUUUUUCAUAUCUGCAAUCAUUCACAUAUUUUGUCUGUUCAUGAUUAUCCUGUGGUUGCUUUGGGGAGUCAAAAAACUGAAAUGAGUCCACCAGUUCCCCAGUUAUGAUGAAGUUCAUGCUGAGUAUCACUGUCACAUCAACUUUUAGAGUUUUUGUCUGUAUUAGUUUAGUUUCUUGCCAAACUGUGGCUACUGUGCAAGCAUUCUCAUUUAGGAAAUUUUCAUCUUUGUGUUUUUUUCAUGUGUAGUAACUUUUUCUUAAUUGCCUGUCAAAUAGAGAUGCUCCAGGUUUACUGUCAUUUACUCUCUGCUUACUCUUCUAUCUAGACUCUCAAAGGAACAGAUUGCUGAUACAAAGACUGCUGAUAGGGAUUGUUUUUGUUUUCUUUUGCAUAGUACAAAAUCUCCAAGGUCUAAUAUGGCCUAUUGUUAUUUUUCUGCUUUAGACCUUUCUGGUUUAAGCUGAUAAGAGUUAUCACCGAGAGGAACUCUUUGAUUCUGUGUCUUUAAUCUGCUGCUCUUUAAGAUUGUCUAGAAGUGCAGAUGCAUGUAAUGAACUGUGUCUACCAUCUUUAUCCACAGUCACACUCCAGUAAUUAAGUCAGAUACUAAGUUAAAAGGGUAAGAUUCUCUUCUUACCACUGACAGUUAUUGAUAUUUCUCCUUUAUCAUAUGUUUUAUAAUCAACUGUAAAAUAGUAUAGCUUUUAGUAAGUCAAGAGUAUCAUAAUGAUCACCCAAGUCAUCCCAUCAUCAGAUUUUCCUCAUUCUUGAAUAGGAAAUAAUGCUGGACUGUGGCAAGUUAUGGUUUCAAUUCCAUGUUUUUGUUAAUGGCUGUUUUGUUUAAAUGUCUUCUAGGGAAUUCUUAGCCUAUACUUUUGUCUACAAAGUAGGUAAAAAACAGAAGACGGAAAUAGCUAGGAUAAGAAUAACGUUAUAUUUCCCGGAAAGAUAUAUAAACAUAGCUGUUUUUUCAUGUGUUAAAUGGUACUUGAUAUUUUGUCUUCAUUGUUGUUUAUUGAUUAUCUCUCACUUUUAAAGUCAGUAAGGAUUCUUGUAUUUCAGUUCCACCAAACCUGUCACCAAACAAUACCUCCAAACCUUGUAAUGUUCCUUAGCAUUAAAUGUCUCCAUUUAUUGUCCAGAAUUGAUGCUAGCUCCAACAUUACUCCUUCCUGAUGGGCAGAUGGGAUUAUUUCAAGUUUAAUACCAGAAAGUGUUCUGUGCAAGUGCUUUCCUGGUAUGAACAAAUGCUCAGGUAGCUCAAGAAAUGAGCAGUAUGCUGACAGCACUGCACUGGUCUUCGCCAGGUAACAGUGGCUGCAGGUCAUAAUAAGUAGUGCUGGUGAGUUCAAAAUUAUAUUCACAUGCAAGACCUCCAGUAAGUUCAAAAUUGUAACUACAUAAGUUUGUGGAUAAGCAUAUGAAUGAAGUUCAAUAUAGUAGAUAACAGUACAGGUAAAAUCACUCAUGUUUAAAUGCUUAUGGGUUCAGGUUCUGUGUAUAUUGGAUUGUUAUUGUGCCACCACAGUGGUUAAAGCUUCUUUUAUUUGUGCUGUGCUAUCACUGGCAAACAUAUUAGCUGAAUGAAAUGCUUACACUAACAUUUUAUUUGUAUAAAAAAUACACAGUAAAAAUAUUAAAGUCUUCAUAGUAUUUCAUGCAGGCAGAUGAUUUAGAAUUGGAAUUUUGAAGAAAAUGUUGGAGUUAGCAACCCAGUUACCACUGAAUAUUGAUGAAGUUGGACAGUGUUUUCUCUGAGAUGCCAGUAAGAUAUUACUCCUUAUGACACCCUUUUUAAAGUUUCAGGAAAGGUUUUUAUUUAGAAUAUGUGUCCUGUUAUUAGUAGCGCCCCCUGAAUUACUCUCAUUAGCUCAUCUAACUGUUUUUAAAUUUAAUGAGAUUAAGUUCAGAAAUCUCUUAUGCUUUCCCUACUUUGUUCAACACAACACGUUUCAUUCUUUAGAACUGUCUUCUAGAAAAAAAAAUUAAAAUUAUCUUGGCUUCUUCCACUUCAGGCUCUUGACUCAAAGGAAAGCUUGCAGACAGUCUUCUCUGGUAUGAAUAUGUGGCAAUACCUGAAAUCUGGAAAAUAUCCCAUCAAGUGGUAAUGAACCAGAGCCAGGAACAGAUUGAGGAGGAUGUACAGAGAUUAUGAAGGCUACAGAGAUCAAAAAGUAGAAAGGCACAGAAGCAAAUCAAGCCCUGGCUGGUAUUUAGCACCUAGCACAGCAAGAAGUCAAUGCCAGUGUAAAACAGAUCAGAAUAGCAAUAUGAACAGCUUGGCACGGGUUUGUCUACUGGAUAGAUAAGCAAAGAGGAAAAAAGGAGAUGACAGGAGAGUGUAAGAAAGCUCAUCCUGCAAAUAAGAAAUGCAGGCAGAUUAGCAAAGUAGAGUGAGACAAACAUCAAAAGGAAGUUCAGUCUCAGAAAGGUUAGAGGCAAGGACCUUCAGAGUGCAGACAACUACUGACCCAAUGAAGUCACCUGGAAUUGCUUCACUGCUUACGUGUACUGAGAAUUAUAUUGCUGUGUGCACCGUGAACCAAGAGCGACAGGAUGUGAAUCCUGUGCAUGGCUGACCUCACCUGGGCUGACUCAGACUCUCAAACCUCAUUGCAGAGAACAAUCAUACCAACAAAGGUUCCAAUGAGCCAGUUUGAGAGCACGCAGAAAAGAAACACAAGCUCAAAGCAACGGCUCUCAGUCCACAAGCAAAGAUGGCAAAGGCAGUAAAUGAGGUAUCAGAGGGGCAGUGGCAGGUGGCUUCAGACUGCAUGGUGUGAGACGGAGCAUUCACUGGAAAGCUGUGAAGUGACAGCAUGAGACUGCAGGUGAAAUGGCAACUUCACUCCUCGAGCUAAACAUACAUUGGGACAUCCAGAUAGGAAACUAUUUUGGCACGGGAGGAAGAAAACCUGGCUUUAGAAGAGGAGUUCAGAGAGGAAGCAGCAAUAUUCCAGGAAAAUUUCCGAGCUGAACAGGAGAGGAAGUGGCUUCUCUAAGAGCGUAUUGCAGAGGUUCCCUAAAACAUGCAGCUGCACAGCUGGAGCAGGUUUAAUAUCUUCUGGAAGUGAGAAGCUGCUGCUGUGUUCCAGGUCUUCUCAUUUCAAGUGUUAAAAUGACCCCUGGCACCGCCCUUCUUUGAAGGAGUACCGACUUUUGGCACACAUCAUGCUCUUCUGCAUUUUUGGUUCUCUGGCAUUGCUAAAUAUGCCCACAGUGAGAUUCCUUAUUUACAGGCAGACCUUUUUUCCUAGGCUCUCAGUUGCCUCUGGGAUCACGUAGACUGAGCUGAGAUGACUGGAGAACCAUGAAGUUGAGGAUGGUGGCCUGCACUGACGAUGGCAGCAAGGAUUGUUCUCCCAGCAGCAGAAGGAAAGCCUGAACAGGGUAGAGAGAGGAUAAAGCCCAUCCUUCUGAGGCACCACAAGCAGCUUCCAACUGCCCUGGCACAUAUAAGAUGGUGUGUACACUCAGCACUAGCUUUUGAAAGGUAUGUGCCACAGAUGGAACUGACUUGCAUCGUGUCACAUCUCACUGAGGAUGAGUUUGGUCCAUCUCCUCCUGUGGCUGUGACUAAGAAGCACAUGGGUGACGUGUUGAUCAAGGGCUGUUUUGGCUGCAGCGCAUGCGCACCAACUCCGCAUCUCCAUGAGAACGGGAAACUGUCAGCACUGUUUGCGAAGCUCCCUGAGUACCUGUGGGAGUGAGGUGAGCAGCGCUGGCCCUAAGUUACCACGUUGCCAGUGCAGAAUGGUUAUUAGCAGAAAUGUGAUGUUAGUUACUCCUAGUAGCAGCUGUAAAGACAAAGAAACAACCACCUGGCUGCCCUUUGAAUAGAGCUAUUGGCUGUUGCUCUUGCAGUUUCUAAGAGACGUGGAGUUACUGGUUUUCUAAGGUGCUACAAGAUGACAGUUAGAAUGCAGCAAUAAAAAGAAUCUACGGUAUAAUUAGGAAUAUAUAUUCUUUUUACUAGUCAAGCUAUUUUAGAUGCACAUUUCCGAGCUUUUGCCUUUGGAACUUAAAAUGAAAUAAUAAAUAUCCAGAAGGCUGGGUUAGCUCGUUUUCUCAGGGACCAGAGAUUAAACGUUAUAUUUUUCCAAGUCCUUGCAAAAAUCUGUCAGUUGCCUUAAAAUGGAUUUCAUCUCCCAUGUCCUUUUUGAAUCUGGCACUUCACUUCCUCCAUACUGUGUGUGUGGUAAGGCCUUUGUUAAAAACAAGACAAGGCCGAAUGAUCUGAGAAUCCUUUAUGCCAUUUGAGAAAGCUUAAUCUAUUAUAAAUCAUUCCAUGAUUUCCUCUAAGAUGUAAGAUCCAGAGAGCAACAGUUUCUUACCUGUGUGUGUGCCACAGACACUUCUCCACCAAAGCUGCUUCUCAUCUCUCCCUGAUCUGAAGUAGGAGGAAUGUGCGUCUACAGCCAUUACUGUGCAUUAUUUUUCUUUCUGAUCUGUAGCAAAUCAUUCUGACCAGAGCAGCUACUGCAGGAGCAUUCCCUUGUUUGUGUUAGAGUCACUGGGAACAAUGAAUCUCUGAGAAGCCUUACAUGACAACAUGAAUAAAACUUCAGACCCUGCUCAUUUUUAUUAUCUCAUAGCUAAAGAAAUGAAGGAACAUAUUUUGACCUCAGUGCCAGUAGUGCCAAAGUGGGCUAUUACUGAUCACUGAAACCUGCGUAGAAGAUGAAAAUGAAUUCAAACCACCUGUGAAGUGUAAGAAGUGAGUUACCAAUAAGCUGAUGGAUGUUAUCUCUGCUUCUGCAGAACCAAAUCUCAUUUUCUAAAAAGCUCUUCAUAUUAUACGUAUAUAUAGAAAGAGAGAUUAAUUAGAGUUGUUAUCAUACUGAACAAUGAGAAGCACUCUGCUUUUAUUCUUGCAAAUCUAAAAUAUGUGCUCAAGGGUAAUGGCUUUAAAAGAACUCAGCCCUUGAGAAACAUCCACUUACCAAUAAUAAAUAUACUGUUUCUCUUUGAAUGAAGGAAAAAAAUGUAUUCUUGAAAACAAAUGCAGUUAAAAGCAGUUGUUAUGGUAACUAUAGCAGUAUCUUUACCUGUAUUUCUGCUGUACUGUUUGGCAGGAAUAAAAAUCUCUUGCUCUGCUGCAUGUGACAGUGGGAAUGUAAAACUGGGACCGCCCCAUUGCCCAGUAAAUUGAUGUGGAAUCUGGUAAUGUGUUUUAAGUUAAUGUUAAUACCCCUUCCCCAGGGAAUAGAGUGAAUUUUGUGACUCAAGAUGCCGAGAACUGGUGGAUAUUGGUUCAGUUCCAUUUCAGAUAUACGUAAGGGCAGUCCGUGAGUAGUUUGUAUUUUAGAGAGAUCUAAUAGAGUGGUUUGUUCUAUUUUGUGAGCAGGUGUUCCACCUGGGCUCUGUAUCAUGCACUGGCCGUGGAGAUGUGGAGUACAAGUGGAAAAAACCUUACAGUCUCUAGCAAGAAUAAAAACAGGAGAGAAUCUGUGACGGGUGAGAAGGGCAAAAUGCACUUUGAAGCAGGGAUGCCCUGCUGGCACUGCCUAUCGCUGCUGCUGUGUUCUUUAUCUCUCCUCUUGGUGGUUUGCCAUCUCAUAGUUGUCAAUAAGUAAUAAUACAUUAGCUUAUAAAUGUCAAUUUACAGAAUUGUAUAAAAUAAAUGCUUGAAUGAGUGUGUA